AGAUGGUGCUUGGUUUUACCAACCGUUCUCACAAAGCCAGGAUGAUGUCCGAGCAGAAAGAUGUCAGAGAUCUGCCUCUCUUUGGAGUCUGGCAAACUGAAGAGUAUACCAGCCUCUGAUCGCUGUUGAUGGCAAAGUACCACGUAAUGAGCAGCCUGGGAAAAUGAGCAAGAUAACCAGAAGCAGAAAGAACAAGAGAAACGUGAGAAGUGUGUGGUGGCUAAUUGGACACUGCUGGUCAAAGGCCUGUUAAUCAAAGAGAGGCUGAAGCGUUGCUAUGGGCAACAAAGGCUGGCAUUAGGGGCGGGGCUUAAGCAAGGCAAAGAAGGCGGGGCUGAAGGAGUGUCCUCAGAUGAGGAGGAAGAGGGCGGGGCUCAGACAGCUCCACCCUCUCUGGUUAGUUCAUUGCCACACAGGCAAUAGGAACAAGAGGAAAAGAUUUUAAGGCGUGUAACUAAACGAGAAAAACAUGGAGAAACAUCUCUUCUCUUUUGAAAAGUGUGACUAAAUCGGCCCUUUAUUAUUUCACUUUCCUUAUCUUCCUUUUAAAUGUUUUUCUGCAUUUAUAAGCAUGUACUGUAUUAUCUGUAACUGUGAGCUCUACAUCACUAUACCCAACCUUUUAUAACUGCAAUAGCUACAUAUGCAGGGAAUUUCAAAAAUGUCAGCCAUUUAUGUUUAGUAAUUUUUACAGACUGUAUAUUUGUUCUUCUAUA